UACAGAGACUGCAAGCGUUAUUCGGAUUUACUGGGCGUAAAGAGCGCGCAGGCGGUCGUACAAGUCGCGUGUGAAAGCCCCCGGCUCAACUGGGGAGGGUCACGCGAUACUGUUCGACUCGAAGGCAGGAGAGGGAAGCAGAAUUCCCGGUGUAGUGGUGAAAUGCGUAGAUAUCGGGAGGAAUACCAGUGGCGAAGGCGGCUUCCUGGCCUGUUCUUGACGCUGAGGCGCGAAAGCUAGGGUAGCAAACGGG
rnacentral:rRNA from 1 species